AACGCACGAGACCUGCGGACCUGCGGAAGGAUCAUUAAUGAGAAGCUGCCCCUCGUGGGUAGACCUCCCACCCUCUGUGAACUUACCUUUGUUGCUUUGGCAGGCCCGUCCUCUGGGCCGCCGGCUUCGGCUGGCCCGUGCCUGCCAGAGGAUUCCAAACCCUGUCUGUCAGUGUUGUCUGAGUCUAUAUGAAAUCGUUAAAACUUUUAACAAUGGAUCUCUAGAUCGGAAGAGCACACG
rnacentral:misc_RNA from 1 species